UUCUUGAAAACCUUCAGAUUCUGGGUACUUCCAUCCGAUAAUUACUCAGUUCUAAGCCGCCUUCUUUUGCCACUUCUGACGAGGUCUCAGAAACCUAUAAUUGAAUCGAGGGUUUAUGUAUAACAUCGAUUUAGAUAUUUACAAAAAAAAAUUGUAACGGUUUAAAAGGUAUGAUUAUACGAUGGUUGCUUUUGUUGGUUUGAUUUGCCAUGUAAAGAUGUUCAAUUCACCAUCGACGCUGGGACAUGGUCAGUUUCAUCUAUUUGUUUCAAGACAGGUUUUGUCUCUUUUCUUGGUUCUCUCUCUCAGUUUCAUCUUUUUGUUUCAAGUGGUGAUACGUUUUUUUAUUUCUUGAUUCAAGUAACAAGAACAUUCUCUCUUUUCUUAUGGAAACAGGCAACUUAUCAUUGGAAGUAGAUUCUAUGAGUGAAAUCGAAGGAUAAAGUGAUAAUAAUCAUUUGAAAAUACUGUUCAUCAUGACAGGAAAUUGCUGACUGAUUUAUAUAGAGAAUUAGAGGAAGAAAGAAGCGCUUCGGUGGAUGCAUAUAUAGAUUUGAGUGUUUACUUUUAUCAAUGAUUUUUAUAUGCCUCAGGUUCUUGAUGCUAUAAUAGGCAUAAUGACUAGCUGUUUAGGCAAGCUCAGUUGAAAGCUCUGUCUCAAUUCACAUCCAUGAGGUGGUUUCUCUUUUAUGAUCAACCCAGACAAAUCUAGGAUAGGAAAAAAAAACACAUAUGAUGGUGCAACCCCUGUCUUAUUUGUUAAGUAAUUUAGCUGGUAAGGGAGGUGAACUGACACACGAGGAAACAAUGAUUAUAAUCGGAGCCCUGGGUUUAAGCGAGAAGGAGACUGCGAAUGUAGGACGACUGACUUACUGAUGCUUACUUUCAUUCUGUCGUCAUCCAGUUUGGAACAUACUUAACUUACACUGCUUCGAGAUUACUUCCACUGGUUUCAUUCAUACGCUUCCAUUUCUUGGAAGUUCAGAGUGGUGAGGAAGUUAUGUGUCAAUUGAAUCAACGUUUUAAGUUUUUGUAUUUUCCCUUAUUAUUAAUCUGUUUGUUGGUUAGUGGUGGGCGUGGUCCAGUUCUACUCUAAACUCUAAAGUCCAUUCGAGUUAUUACGUUUUGUUAGCCUGUUUCUUUUAAUACAUAUUAUAGCUUUUGUAACUUUUGUUGACAUAUAUAAAG